rnacentral:tRNA from 1 species
GCCCGGAUGGCGAAACUGGUAGACGCAAGGGACUUAAAAUCCCUCGGCCGCAAGGUCAUGUCGGUUCGAUCCCGACUCCGGGCACCA